AAAAAGAAAGUAUUACAUUAAAUGAUAUCUAUUUAUAGUAUUAUCUUUGAAGAAAUCCUCGAGUGAGAGUCAGGACAUUGUCGAUUGUUUAGAGAAGCCAAACCCAUAAAAUAUGCAACUACACAGGUCUGGGUGUUAUAUGAAUUCUUAAGAAGUAAACAGCCAAGGGUUAUAAGAUAAUAUGGGAACAGAAUACCUCCCAACCAUGUAAUAAAUGAAGCAGAAACAGAGGGUUUCUGGGACCAAUAAUCUGAUAAAUAGAUUCCCCUUUGCAAUUCCAUAGGUGAAUCUUUUCUAAAUAAUCCAUUUCACUAAAUGGCUAUGAUGAUACUAUCCAUCAGUCUUUUACAUAGCCCUAGAACAAGGAAGAUAAA